rnacentral:rRNA from 1 species
UAACCUGCCCAAGAGACUGGGAUAACACCUGGAAACAGAUGCUAAUACCGGAUAACAACACUAGACGCAUGUCUAGAGUUUAAAAGAUGGUUCUGCUAUCACUCUUGGAUGGACCUGCGUUGCAUUAGCUAGUUGGUAAGGUAACGGCUUACCAAGGCAAUGAUGCAUAGCCGAGUUGAGAGACUGAUCGGCCACAUUGGGACUGAGACACGGCCCAAACUCCUACGGGAGGCAGCAG